rnacentral:rRNA from 1 species
AGCUUGCUCUUAUGAAGUUAGCGGCGGACGGGUGAGUAACACGUGGGUAACCUACCCAUAAGACUGGGAUAACUCCGGGAAACCGGGGCUAAUACCGGAUAAUAUUUUGAACUGCAUAGUUCGAAAUUGAAAGGCGGCUUCGGCUGUCACUUAUGGAUGGACCCGCGUCGCAUUAGCUAGUUGGUGAGGUAACGGCUCACCAAGGCGACGAUGCGUAGCCGACCUGAGAGGGUGAUCGGCCACACUGGGACUGAGACACGGCCCAGACUCCUACGGGAGGCAGCAGUAGGGAAUCUUCCGCAAUGGACGAAAGUCUGACGGAGCAACGCCGCGUGAGUGAUGAAGGCUUUCGGGUCGUAAAACUCUGUUGUUAGGGAAGAACAAGUGCUAGUUGAAUAAGCUGGCACCUUGACGGUACCUAACCAGAAAGCCACGGCUAACUACGUGCCAGCAGCCGCGGUAAUACGUAGGUGGCAAGCGUUAUCCGGAAUUAUUGGGCGUAAAGCGCGCGCAGGUGGUUUCUUAAGUCUGAUGUGAAAGCCCACGGCUCAACCGUGGAGGGUCAUUGGAAACUGGGAGACUUGAGUGCAGAAGAGGAAAGUGGAAUUCCAUGUGUAGCGGUGAAAUGCGUAGAGAUAUGGAGGAACACCAGUGGCGAAGGCGACUUUCUGGUCUGUAACUGACACUGAGGCGCGAAAGCGUGG